rnacentral:lncRNA from 1 species
UGUUGUUUUUGAUGUUCUGUCAUCCCAAUUAAUGAUUGGCACCCUUAAACACGAUCUAAGCUACUUGAAAUUAAAAUUAUAGUUAUUAAAUUUUGUAAUUUUAUAAUAAUUUAUUUUGUGAUCGAGUGGUCCUUGAUUCACUUUAUAUUAAUUAUUAAAAUUUGUCAAUUUUAAAAUACUUGAGUACUAGGCAAAUAAUGCUUAUUAAAAAUUUCAAACAGCGUAAAUCAUGCGCCUAACUAUAUCGAUUGUCAAUUCAAAUGUCCUGUCGUUGGAAAUGACGGGAAAGUAAAUAGUUCUAGAAGUACUUGUUGGCUUAAAGGGGGCCAGCAUCCUGCCUUAUGGCAGGAGGUCAGGUUUGGUCGAGUCACAUUAGAAAUGACGAAAAGCUUGGUUAGACCAAGUCAUAUUUAAAGUGACGUGAGCUUGGUUGGGCCAAAUCACAACGGAGGCUGUAGCCUUGUCUUGUUUUCAGUUAAAAAGGUCUCACAUGCAUUUGAAAUAUGAAAAAAAAACAGAAGCUACUGAUAUGCUAACA